rnacentral:tRNA from 1 species
CGGACUUAAAAUCCGUUGGCUUUAUAGACCAUGAGGGUUCAAGUCCCUCUACCCCCA